rnacentral:lncRNA from 1 species
GUCAAUCAUCCUUUUCAUGGAGUUAGAAUUUCACUGUGUUUAGCAGUAAAUUCCUUUACUGCCUUCACCUCAACAGAAAAGGCUUGAAUCAGACAGCAGAAUGAGGACACCUGUGGAAUCUGAAGAUACUAACAGCUCCGCCUGUUUGUCAGGAUAUUUUGUGAUCACCAGAGGUCAAAACCAGCCCACAGUGAUGGCAGGAGUGCAAGCAGGAGGUGACCAUCAAUUCUGGGAUACUACUUGUGGAGAAUGUACGCCAUGGAGCUGUUGGGGACUUCUUCUGCAGCAUGGAGACCGUAUCUCCCCAUUUGGUGUUCGUGUGAUGAAGGAAGUACAAGACUGUCCAUGUGAAGCUGUUAAAUAAACUGAGUUUGACCAACUAAUUCUGGGGAAGGUAUUUGGAUGAACAACGAGAAAAGAUAUUUUAAGAGAGGAGGAGAGGUGAAAGUGAGUGAUGAAAAGACACUGAAAUGGGGGUUACCAUUUAAUGCCGUACUUCACUGUGUAGCUGCCCUGUAAGCACCUGUACGCAUGUUAAGUGAUGUUCUGACUGCACAGGAUUGAAAUACGUGUAAGAAAUACACACAAAAAAAUGCCACAAUAGGACAGAGUAAGAACCUCAUAGUGAUUACCAGACUGUAGACAGGUGCUGAAAAGACAGUGUGGUAAACUGCAGCAACAACCCCCCUAAAUUAUGGCAGACCAAGG